rnacentral:rRNA from 1 species
UUCCGGUUGAUCCUGCCGGAUUGACUGCUAUCGGAUUGAUACUAAGCCAUGCGAGUCAUUGUAGUAAUACAAGGCAGACGGCUCAGUAACGCGUAGUCAACCUACCCUAUGGACGGGGAUAACCUCGGGAAACUGAGAAUAAUACCCGAUAGAACAUUAUGCCUGGAAUGGUUUAUGUUUCAAAUAAUUUAUUGCCGUAGGAUGGGACUGCGGCCUAUCAGUUUGUUGGUGAGGUAAUGGCCCACCAAGACCAUUACAGGUACGGGCUCUGAGAGGAGUAGCCCGGAGAUGGGUACUGAGACACGGACCCAGGCCCUAUGGGGCGCAGCAGGCGAGAAAACUUUGCAAUGUGCGAAAGCACGACAAGGUUAAUCCGAGUGGUUUCUGCUAAAGGAACCUUUUGUCAGUCCUAGAAACACUGGUGAAUAAGGGGUGGGCAAGUUCUGGUGUCAGCCGCCGCGGUAAAACCAGCACCUCAAGUGGUCAGGAUGAUUAUUGGGCCUAAAGCAUCCGUAGCCUGCUUUGUAAGUUUUCGGUUAAAUCCAUACGCUCAACGUAUGGGCUGCCGGGAAUACUGCAAAGCUAGGGAGUGGGAGAGGUAGACGGUACUCGGUAGGAAGGGGUAAAAUCCUUUGAUCUAUUGAUGACCACCUGUGGCGAAGGCGGUCUACCAGAACACGUCCGACGGUGAGGGAUGAAAGCUGGGGGAGCAAACCGGAUUAGAUACCCGGGUAGUCCCAGCUGUAAACUAUGCAAACUCAGUGAUGCAUUGGCUUGAUGCCAAUGCAGUGCUGCAGGGAAGCCGUUAAGUUUGCCGCCUGGGAAGUACGUACGCAAGUAUGAAACUUAAAGGAAUUGGCGGGGGAGCACCACAAGGGGUGAAGCCUGCGGUUCAAUUGGAUUCAACGCCGGAA